rnacentral:lncRNA from 1 species
GCCUCCAGCACAGUCCCGAAACUGGUGCGUUCCAGCGCAAUCCUGCCCAGGCCAGGUUGCUGCCCUGGGGCAUUCCACAGCUGGUUUGAUCUGGUUGGGCCUGAGCACCGGGCUGAAGAAAGGGACCAUAGCCACUAGGCUAUCAGCAGGCCUACCUCUCCAGCGGCUCAGCUCAGAUUCGAGGCAGCUAGUCUCCUGAGGUCCCGGGAUCUAGUCUCAGAACUGCCUUCUGCUGGAUGGACUGGUUUUUCAGGUGUACCCCUUAAAAGGGGCCCGUGAUGGGCUGGAGAGAUGGCUCAGAGGUUAAGAGCACUGGCUGUUCUUCCAGAGGUCCUGAGUUCAAUUAGCAGCAACCACGUGGUGGCUCACAACCAUCCGUUAUGAGAUCUGGUGCCCUCUUCUGGUGUGCAGAUAUACAUGGAAGCAGAAUGUUGUAUACAUAAUAAAUAAAUAAAAUCUUUAAAAAAAAAAGGGGGUGUGUGAGAUGGAUUCAGGACUGCUCUCUUUAACAAGACUUAGGAGGCAGUCGCUAGCUAGCUCUUGGAUGCACCCCAAUAAAAAUCAAGCUUGCU